rnacentral:rRNA from 1 species
UGGGGAAUUUUGGACAAUGGGGGAAACCCUGAUCAAGCCAUCCCGCGUGUGCGAUGAAGGCCUUCGGGUUGUAAAGCACUUUUGGCAGGAAAGAAACGUCAUGGGUUAAUACCCCGUGAAACUGACGGUACCUGCAGAAUAAGCACCGGCUAACUACGUGCCAGCAGCCGCGGUAAUACGUAGGGUGCAAGCGUUAAUCGGAAUUACUGGGCGUAAAGCGUGCGCAGGCGGUUCGGAAAGAAAGAUGUGAAAUCCCAGAGCUCAACUUUGGAACUGCAGUUGUAACUAGCGGGCUAGAGUGUGUCAGAGGGAGGUGGAAUUCCGCGUGUAGCAGUGAAAUGCGUAGAUAUGCGGAGGAACACCGGUGGCGAAGGCAGCCUCCUGGGAUAACACUGACGCUCAUGCACGAAAGCGUGGGGAGCAAACAGG